rnacentral:rRNA from 1 species
AGUGAACGCUGGCGGUAGGCCUAACACAUGCAAGUCGAACGGCAGCACAGUAAGAGCUUGCUCUUACGGGUGGCGAGUGGCGGACGGGUGAGGAAUACAUCGGAAUCUACUUUUUCGUGGGGGAUAGCGUAGGGAAACUUACGCUAAUACCGCAUACGACCUACGGGUGAAAGCAGGGGAUCUUCGGACCUUGCGCGAUUGAAUGAGCCGAUGUCGGAUUAGCUAGUUGGCGGGGUAAAGGCCCACCAAGGCGACGAUCCGUAGCGGGUCUGAGAGGAUGAUCAGCCACACUAGAGCUGAGACACGGACCAGACUCCUACGGGAGGCAGCAGUGGGGAAUAUUGGACAAUGGGCGCAAGCCUGAUCCAGCCAGACCGCGUGGGUGAAGAAGGCCUUCGGGUUGUAAAGCCCUUUUGUUGGGAAAGAAAAGCAGCAGGUUAAUACCCCGCUGUUCUGACGGUACCCAAAGAAUAAGCACCGGCUAACUUCGUG